AUUUUGUUCCAGCUGAGGAAACUGGAACCCAGAAAGUAGAUGCCACCUGCCCAGGACCACACACUGAUUCCUGUGGUCAUCCUGGACUUAAUCCUUGGGUCUCCUUUCCUCUCUGCUGAGGGGCACAGGGAUUAUGCUGCCCAUUUUCCGAGUAAGGAAGCUGAGGCCCAGCAAAGAAAGUGACUAAACCCACUGCCAGUUGGCUCAGGAGCAGAAUCUGGAACCCCGGACUCCAGACUCCUAGUGAGGAGGAGGUGGGGUGGCAGGAUCACCUGUAGGACCACAGAGAUGGUCUUCUCGCCUGCCUUGGCUGCCCGCCAUUUUCGGUCCCUCACCGAGUCCUGGCUGCUGCAGGACACGACAUGGCGGAGGCGGAUCUCCGGCAUGUCAACGUCGUGGGCUUCGCCUGGCCAGAAGGAUGAGGUAGAGUAUGGGGUCCGAGGGGCAGGGAGAGUGGGAGGGGGCGGGGUGCGCCCUGCGCUGGCUAAAGUGCGCAAGCGCGCGAGGCUCGGGCCUUUCAAACCCCGGCGCGCCGGCGCCGGCGUC
ensembl:lncRNA novel transcript, antisense to XRCC1